AAAAUUUAUAAAAAAGAAUUAAUUGAAUUAAAAUAAAUUUGAGUAAAGCAAAAUUCAUUUUUUUGUUUUGAAUAAGGGAGAACCAUCUUCAAAACAAAUAAAUAUUUAAAAUAUAUCAAUAGAGAAUAGUACUGUGAAGGAAAGAUGAAAAAGAACCUUUAUAAUAUAUAUGGAGUGAAAUAGAACUUAAAAUUAAAUACAUAAAAGCGAUUGAAGUAACUUUAAAAUAUGUUAUAACAAUGUACCUUUUGUAUAAUGGGUCAGCGAGUUAAUAUAAUUAGUAAUUAAAAUUUUUGAAAGAUUUUAAAAGAUAGCGAAAGCGAGUUUUAAUUAAGCAUUAAUUAAUUAUAUUAUUACCCGAAACCGGAUGAUCUAAACAUGUUUAGAUUAAUAAAAAAUUUAUAACUUUAUAUAAUUUA
rnacentral:rRNA from 1 species